AUUGAACGCUGGCGGCAGGCCUAACACAUGCAAGUCGAGCGGAGCGGCAGACGGGUGAGUCAUGCCUAGGAAUCUGCCUGGUCGUUGGGGAUAACGUCCGGAACCGGGCGCUAAUACCGCAUACUAUCAGAUGAGCCUCGGUCGGAUUCGCCAGUUGGUGGGGUAAAGGCCUACCAAGGCGACGAUCCGUAACUGGUCUGAGAGGAUGAUCAGUCACACUGGAACGGAGACACGGCCCAGACUCCGACGGGAGGCAGCAGUGGGGAAUAUUGGACAAGGGGCGAAAGCCUGAUCCAGCCAUGCCGCGUGUGUGAAGAAGGUCGUCGGAUUGUAAAGCACUUUAAGUUGGGAGGCGGUACCCGCAGAAGAAGCACCGGCUAACUACGUGCCAGCAGCCGCGGUAAUAC
rnacentral:rRNA from 1 species